GUGGGGAAUAUUGGACAAUGGGCGAAAGCCUGAUCCAGCCAUGCCGCGUGUGUGAAGAAGGUCUUCGGAUUGUAAAGCACUUUAAGUUGGGAGGAAGGGCAGUAAGUUAAUACCUUGCUGUUUUGACGUUACCAACAGAAUAAGCACCGGCUAACUUCGUGCCAGCAGCCGCGGUAAUACGAAGGGUGCAAGCGUUAAUCGGAAUUACUGGGCGUAAAGCGCGCGUAGGUGGUUCAGCAAGUUGGAGGUGAAAUCCCCGGGCUCAACCUGGGAACUGCCUCCAAAACUACUGAGCUAGAGUACGGUAGAGGGUAGUGGAAUUUCCUGUGUAGCGGUGAAAUGCGUAGAUAUAGGAAGGAACACCAGUGGCGAAGGCGACUACCUGGACUGAUACUGACACUGAGGUGCGAAAGCGUGGGGAGCAAACAGGAUUAGAAACCCUGGUAGUCC
rnacentral:rRNA from 1 species